AUGUCAUGUUUCAAGCUGCCUCGGGGAUUAUGUGAGAAGCUUUCGGCUGCUAUACGGUUUUUCUUUUGGGAAAGUAAGCAAGGUAAAAGGAAACCCCACUGGGUGUCUUGGGAUAAGAUAUGUAUGCCACGUUACAUGGGAGGUCUUGGGUUCAGAGAUUUCAAACUGUUUAACUUAGCUUUUUUGGCACGCCAGUCUUGGAGGAUUCUGAGUUCCCCGGAGUCGCUAAGUGCUCGUAUCCUCAAAGGGGUUUAUUUUCCUUCCUGCUCUAUCUUGGAAGCUAAUUUGGGAAGCCACUCGUCCCAGAUAUGGCGCUCAAUUUUGGAAGGAAGAGACAUAAUGAAGCAAGGGCUAGUAAGAAGGAUUGGUAAUGGGGCUACAACCGGCGUUUGGACCACUAACUGGAUCCCAAGACCAGAAAAAAUGCAUCCAUUGCUGUCAAGAGUGACGAAUCCACCAGAGUUAAUUUCCCAACUAAUUGAUACUACAAACGCUAGGUGGAAUUCAUAA
rnacentral:rRNA from 1 species